rnacentral:pre_miRNA from 1 species
UCCCCUCCGCAGGCUGCGGGCCCAGGUGGGGCCGGGCGAGCGUCUCUGAAAGGCUCACCCUCAAGCACCACCAGGAGC